AGAUAGAUUGAAUAUUCGGCGGCGGGGCCAUGCCGGCAACGCGAGAAACCUGACAAAACAACUGUGAGGUACGAGCGGUUUUAGUCGAAGACGGAAAGAAGAGAUCGGUUGCGGCAUCGCGGAGAAGAACUUGAAGCAGGAAGAAGCGUGGAUUGGCAAGCCGAGCUGCAUAGCGGCUGCCGGACGACUGCUAUUUCAACUGAGUCGAUAAAAAGUGAUCGGCUGAAGGAAGAAGAUGGCAAAGGGGGGGGGGGGAGAAGUUGGGGAAUGCUACUGAUCAAAGAU
ensembl:ncRNA T03G11.17 ncRNA